UUCAUAAUCAUAUAAUUUAUAAAUUUUUGUUGCUUUUAGCAGAGAGAAAUCUGAAAGCGGACAUGCCCGCGUUUUAACUUGGACUUUUAAUAGCUAUAUCCAAUAUAUUGAAGAAAACAAUUCCUUGCGCGCCUAGCAACGAUGAUCGCCGGGAGGAAAUAUCUAACCGCGCGCUUGCAUUCGAUAUCCUGGGUAUAUACUAUAGGAUAUUUUUAGUAUCUACUACGAAUACUAUAGAGCGGACCGCAACAGUCCGUAUCAAGAGGAUGGUCUGUGAUUUUGAGAUACCAAAAUACUUACCGCUUGGAGGCUUAUAAACCUUUUAAACGUGAAAUUGUUGAUGCAAUCUUGAUCGAUGUGAUGCGGGAUUAUUUUAUUUACCGGCUUGUCAAUCUCAGAUUUGCAAAUCUGCCAAAAAAUGUUAGAAAUACAAAAAAAUUGUCGUUGCUAUAUCAAUCGUUCAGAAGUUGAAGCAAAUCGAUUUUGGCAAGUUAUGAUGUUCAGCGAGAUACAUAUUUGAUCCAAUGUGUGAUCGAACUCCGGAAUUUACUGCAACGGGCCUUGUUGUGGGGAUUUAUUACGAAUGAAUAUAUUAUUACAAAUGAAUAUGAAUAUAAGGAAAAAAAUCGAUUAAGAGAUUUUAUGACAGUAACCAAUAAGUCUUGAUACUCGUUAAAUAUGUGAAUUAAAGGAAUAUAAAUAAUACUUCAAAUUUUUAG